rnacentral:rRNA from 1 species
CCUACGGGAGGCUGCAGUGGGGAAUAUUGGACAAUGGGGGGAACCCUGAUCCAGCCAUGCCGCGUGUGUGAAGAAGGCCCUCGGGUUGUAAAGCACUUUCAGUGAGGAAGAACGCCUGGUGGUUAAUACCCAUCAGGAAAGACAUCACUCACAGAAGAAGCACCGGCUAACUCCGUGCCAGCAGCCGCGGUAAUACGGAGGGUGCGAGCGUUAAUCGGAAUUACUGGGCGUAAAGCGCGCGUAGGUGGCUUGAUAAGCCGGUUGUGAAAGCCCCGGGCUCAACCUGGGAACGGCAUCCGGAACUGUCAAGCUAGAGUGCAGGAGAGGAAGGUAGAAUUCCCGGUGUAGAGGUGAAAUGCGUAGAGAUCGGGAGGAAUACCAGUGGCGAAGGCGGCCUUCUGGACUGACACUGACACUGAGGUGCGAAAGCGUGGGUAGCAAACAGGAUUAGAUACCCUAGUAGUC